rnacentral:rRNA from 1 species
UGGGGAAUAUUGCACAAUGGGGGAAACCCUGAUGCAGCGAUGCCGCGUGAAGGAAGAAGAUUUUCGGAUUGUAAACUUCUAUCAGCAAGGAAGAAAACGGACAGUACUUGACUAAGAAGCCCCGGCUAACUACGUGCCAGCAGCCGCGGUAAUACGUAGGGGGCAAGCGUUAUCCGGAAUUACUGGGUGUAAAGGGUGCGUAGGCGGUAUGGCAAGUUUGAUGUGAAACCCACAGGCUUAACCUGUGGCUUGCAUCGAAAACUACUGAACUAGAGUGCAGGAGAGGAAAGCGGAAUUCCUAGUGUAGCGGUGAAAUGCGUAGAUAUUAGGAAGAACACCAGUGGCGAAGGCGGCUUUCUGGACUGCAACUGACGCUGAGGCACGAAAGCGUGGGGAGCAAACAGGAUUAGAUACCCUGGUAGUCCACGCUGUAAACGAUGAAUACUAGGUGUUGGGGCCGUUAGGCCUCGGUGCCGCAGUUAACGCAAUAAGUAUUCCACCUGGGGAGUACGACCGCAAGGUUGAAACUCAAAGGAAUUGACGGGGGCCCGCACAAGCGGUGGAGCAUGUGGAUUAAUUCGACGCAACGCGAAGAACCUUACCAGGUCUUGACAUCCCUCUGAAUACAGUAGAGAUACGGUAGGCCUUCGGGACAGAGGAGACAGGUGGUGCAUGGUUGUCGUCAGCUCGUGUCGUGAGAUGUUGGGUUAAGUCCCGCAACGAGCGCAACCCUUAUUGACAGUAGCCAGCAGGUAAGGCUGGGCACUCUGUUAAGACUGCCGGGGAUAACUCGGAGGAAGGUGGGGAUGACGUCAAAUCAUCAUGCCCCUUAUGACCUGGGCUUCACACGUGCUACAAUGGCUGUCACAAAGAGAAGCGAAGCUGCGAAGCGGAGCAAAGCUCAAAAAGGCAGUCCCAGUUCGGAUUGCAGGCUGCAACCCGCCUGCAUGAAGCUGGAAUCGCUAGUAAUCGCGAAUCAGCAUGUCGCGGUGAAUACGUUCCC